UACAGAGGGUGCAAGCGUUAAUCGGAAUUACUGGGCGUAAAGGGCGCGUAGGUUGUUAUAUAAGUGAGAGGUGAAAUCCCCGGGCUUAACCUGGGAACUGCCUCUUAUACUGUAUGACUGGAGUGCAAUAGAGGGUAGUGGAAUUUCCGGUGUAGCGGUGAAAUGCGUAGAUAUCGGAAGGAACACCAGUGGCGAAGGCGGCUACCUGGAUUGACACUGACACUGAGGCGCGAGAGCGUGGGGAGCAAACAGG
rnacentral:rRNA from 1 species